AUUGAACGCUGGCGGCAUGCCUUACACAUGCAAGUCGAACGGCAGCGCGGGCUUCGGCCUGGCGGCGAGUGGGCGACGGGUGAGUAAGUCAUCGGUACGUGCCCAGCAGUUGGGGAUAGCACGACGACAGCCGGACUAAUACCGCACACGAUCAUAGGUUGAACGCGGGGGACCGAAAGGCCUCGCGCUAUUGGAGCGGCCGAUGUCGGAUUAGCUAGUUGGUUGGGUAAAGGCUUACCAAGGCGACGAUCCGUAGCUGGUCUGAGAGGACGACCAGCCACACUGGAACUGAGACACGGCCCAGACUCCUACGGGAGGCAGCAGUGGGGAAUUUUGGACAAUGGGCGCAAGCCUGAUCCAGCCAUGCCGCGUGCGGGAAGAAGGCCUUCGGGUUGUAAACCGCUUUUGUUCGGGAAGAAAACCUGUGGGCUAAUACGCCGGGGGGAUGACGGUACCGAAAGAAUAAGCACCGGCUAACUACGUG
rnacentral:rRNA from 1 species